rnacentral:rRNA from 1 species
UCUGUUGAUCAUAGGUAAGGGGAGAUUUCGUUCCCAUUCCGAACACGAUCGUUAAGCCCUAAAUCGCCGAUGGUAGUGCCGCCACGAUAGGAUGCGAGAGUAGGUCGUUGCCAGUA